GCUGUAUUUGUGGGAAAACGUGUUGGUAGGAGGGAAAGACACACAUUUAAAAACUCGGUUUAAGGGGAAUAUUUUAAAUGUAAUCUUAAAUUUAUUUACAAAGUCUAAAAGACCUUGGUUUACGUUCCGUUACUGUUUCACAUAUACACAUAUAACGCCGCCAUAUUGUAGUUAUUUGCAGAAAUUGACGUAAGAUCCUUUAGGUUUCAGCGGAAACGGAAGUGGAACGAGGAUAGUAGAGAUUCUGGCAGAGCUGUGCUCUGAGCUCCAGUGAAUCAGCAGAGGCCGAGCUAAAUGUGGCAGCAAGUGUCAGGCCAAAUCAUCACACGCUUCCCAGGAUUCCUUUGGUGCUGUAAUCCAGGCUGUGGCCGGCACUGACCCCGGGGCAAUGGUCCGGGCGCCAAAGUCGGCCAUCACCGGAUCGUUGAGACGAUCUACGGUGGAUUAGCGAGAACCUACAAGUGGCGCUUUUGGAGGAUUUGAAACUUUUUCAACUGCAUCUGUCCGUGAGCAUCCAUCUCCCCGAGCUGCAUUUCUGCGUUGACAUCGCCAGCGAUU